rnacentral:lncRNA from 1 species
GGACAAAGCACUGGGCAAUGGAGACCACACAGAAAUGAUAGCUAUUGCAUCUCUGUUCUACUGAAGUCUCUGAGAGCGAUCCAGACUAUGACUCCAUCUUCAAAUUUCAAAGUUUCCCAGGCUGGAACUGAUGCAAAGCAAGUAAGGCAUUCUCAGUGAUGGACCAGUAAUUGCUUGUUUAUUUAUGCACCCCAAGUCUCUUUCUACC